CCUACGGGAGGCAGCAGUGAGGAAUAUUGGUCAAUGGGCGCUAGCCUGAACCAGCCAAGUAGCGUGAAGGAUGACUGCCCUAUGGGUUGUAAACUUCUUUUAUAUGGGAAUAAAGUGCAGUAUGUAUACUGCUUUGCAUGUACCUUCUGAAUAAGGAUCGGCUAACUCCGUGCCAGCAGCCGCGGUAAUACGGAGGAUCCGAGCGUUAUCCGGAUUUAUUGGGUUUAAAGGGAGCGUAGGCGGGUUGUUAAGUCAGUGGUGAAAGUUUGCGGCUCAACCGUAAAAUUGCAGUUGAUACUGGCAGCCUUGAGUACAGUAGAGGUAGGCGGAAUUCGUGGUGUAGCGGUGAAAUGCUUAGAUAUCACGAAGAACUCCGAUUGCGAAGGCAGCCUGCUGGACUGUAACUGACGCUGAUGCUCGAAAGUGUGGGUAUCAAACAGGAUUAGAUACCCGAGUAGUC
rnacentral:rRNA from 1 species